rnacentral:lncRNA from 1 species
CGUGCUGAGGCCCUGGCUUCUCGGAUGUUUGUUAAGUCUGCUUUUCUUUUGCUGAGGGUCUCUUAUGCAGACAGAAUAGCCCCUACGAUAUGCUUUCCAGUCUAUCAUGCUAUACCCAUACUACCUGCACAGUAGAGAGGUGCUAUAAAGAAAGGGAAGAGGAUUGCUCACCCGUAUCAGAAGAUUCCAGGUCUGCGGGGGAAGGCUUCACCAAGGAGGGAUUUCCAACCACAAAUCCCUCCCCAGCGGCAGUCAGCCCUUCAGUGAGGUCUGAGAGAGGCGCACCCAGGGCCGGUACCGGUGCGGGGAACCCAGGCGGUGCUGGGUAAAGGCGCCUGGAGGAAAACCAAAACAGAGAGAGAGGGGGGGGGGGGGGGAGAGAGGGAGAGGAGGCCGAGGGACAAGGAGUGGCCGCUGGGGGAGGGACGCGGCAGCGCGAGAUGGAGGCGAUGCUGAAGCUGUCGUGCAGGAGGAAGAGCACAGCCCAGGGGCUGCGACCCCGGCCUCCGGUCCG